rnacentral:rRNA from 1 species
GAUGAACGCUGGCGGCGUGCCUAAUACAUGCCAGUCGAGCGAACGGACGAGAAGCUUGCUUCUCUGAUGUUAGCGGCGGACGGGUGAGUAACACGUGGAUAACCUACCUAUAAGACUGGGAUAACUUCGGGAAACCGGAGCUAAUACCGGAUAAUAUUUUGAACCGCAUGGUUCACAAGUGAAAGACGGUCUUGCUGUCACUUAUAGAUGGAUCCGCGCUGCAUUAGCUAGUUGGUAAGGUAACGGCUUACCAAGGCAACGAUGCAUAGCCGACCUGAGAGGGUGAUCGGCCACACUGGAACUGAGACACGGUCCAGGCUCCUACGGGAGGCAGCAGUAGGGAAUCUUCCGCAAUGGGCGAAAGCCUGACGGAGCAACGCCGCGUGAGUGAUGAAGGUCUUCGGAUCGUAAAACUCUGUUAUUAGGGAAGAACAUAUGUGUAAGUAACUGUGCACAUCUUGACGGUACCUAAUCAGAAAGCCACGGCUAACUACGUG